UUAAGUGACUAAGCGUACACGGUGGAUGCCUAGGCAGUCAGAGGCGAUGAAGGGCGUGCUAAUCUGCGAAAAGCGUCGGUAAGGUGAUAUGAACCGUUAUAACCGGCGAUACCCGAAUGGGGAAACCCAGUGCAAUUCGUUGCACUAUCGUUAAGUGAAUACAUAGCUUAACGAGGCGAACCGGGGGAACUGAAACAUCUAAGUACCCCGAGGAAAAGAAAUCAACCGAGAUUCCCCCAGUAGCGGCGAGCGAACGGGGAGGAGCCCAGAACCUGAAUCAGUUCUUGUGUUAGUGGAAGCGUCUGGAAAGUCGCGCAGUAAAGGGUGAUAGCCCCGUACACUAAAAUGCAUUNUAGUUGCAAGGUAUAGACCCGAAACCCGGUGAUCUAGCCAUGGGCAGGUUGAAGGUUGGGUAACACUAACUGGAGGACCGAACCGACUAAUGUUGAAAAAUUAGCGGAUGACUUGUGGCUGGGGGUGAAAGGCCAAUCAAACCGGGAGAUAGCUGGUUCUCCCCGAAAGCUAUUUAGGUAGCGCCUCGUGAACUCAUCUUCGGGGGUAGAGCACUGUUUCGGCUAGGGGGCCAUCCCGGCUUACCAAACCGAUGCAAACUCCGAAUACCGAAGAAUGUUAUCACGGGAGACACACGGCGGGUGCUAACGUCCGUCGUGAAGAGGGAAACAACCCAGACCGCCAGCUAAGGUCCCAAAGUCAUGGUUAAGUGGGAAACGAUGUGGGAAGGCAUAGACAGCCAGGAUGUUGGCUUAGAAGCAGCCAUCAUUUAAAGAAAGCGUAAUAGCUCACUGGUCGAGUCGGCCUGCGCGGAAGAUGUAACGGGGCUAAACCAUGCACCGAAGCUGCGGCAGCGACGCUUAGGCGUUGUUGGGUAGGGGAGCGUUCUGUAAGCCGUUGAAGGUGGCCUGUGAGGGUUGCUGGAGGUAUCAGAAGUGCGAAUGCUGACAUAAGUAACGAUAAAGCGGGUGAAAAGCCCGCUCGCCGGAAGACCAAGGGUUCCUGUCCAACGUUAAUCGGGGCAGGGUGAGUCGACCCCUAAGGCGAGGCCGAAAGGCGUAGUCGAUGGGAAACAGGUUAAUAUUCCUGUACUCGGUGUUACUGCGAAGGGGGGACGGAGAAGGCUAGGCUAGCCGGGCGACGGUUGUCCCGGUUUAAGCGUGUAGGGGGAGUGACCCGGUAAAUCCGGUUGCUUAUNACGGUGCAGAAGUAGUUGAUGCCAAGCUUCCAGGAAAAGCCUCUAAGCAUCAGGUAACACAGAAUCGUACCCCAAACCGACACAGGUGGUCAGGUAGAGAAUACCAAGGCGCUUGAGAGAACUCGGGUGAAGGAACUAGGCAAAAUGGUGCCGUAACUUCGGGAGAAGGCACGCUGGCGCGUAGGUGAAGUCCCUUGCGGAUGGAGCUGAAGCCAGUCGCAGAUACCAGCUGGCUGCAACUGUUUAAUAAAAACACAGCACUGUGCAAACACGAAAGUGGACGUAUACGGUGUGACGCCUGCCCGGUGCUGGAAGGUUAAUUGAUGGGGUCAGCCGCAAGGCGAAGCUCUUGAUCGAAGCCCCAGUAAACGGCGGCCGUAACUAUAACGGUCCUAAGGUAGCGAAAUUCCUUGUCGGGUAAGUUCCGACCUGCACGAAUGGCGUAAUGAUGGCCAGGCUGUCUCCACCCGAGACUCAGUGAAAUUGAACUCGCUGUGAAGAUGCAGUGUACCCGCGGCAAGACGGAAAGACCCCGUGAACCUUUACUAUAGCUUGACACUGAACAUUGAGCCUUGAUGUGUAGGAUAGGUGGGAGGCUUUGAAGCGUGGACGCCAGUCUGCGUGGAGCCAACCUUGAAAUACCACCCUUUAAUGUUUGAUGUUCUAACUCGGCCCCGUAAUCCGGGGUGAGGACAGUGUCUGGUGGGUAGUUUGACUGGGGCGGUCUCCUCCCAAAGAGUAACGGAGGAGCACGAAGGUUAGCUAAUCACGGUCGGACAUCGUGAGGUUAGUGCAAAGGCAUAAGCUAGCUUGACUGCGAGAGUGACGGCUCGAGCAGGUACGAAAGUAGGUCUUAGUGAUCCGGUGGUUCUGAAUGGAAGGGCCAUCGCUCAACGGAUAAAAGGUACUCCGGGGAUAACAGGCUGAUACCGCCCAAGAGUUCAUAUCGACGGCGGUGUUUGGCACCUCGAUGUCGGCUCAUCACAUCCUGGGGCUGAAGUAGGUCCCAAGGGUAUGGCUGUUCGCCAUUUAAAGUGGUACGCGAGCUGGGUUUAGAACGUCGUGAGACAGUUCGGUCCCUAUCUGCCGUGGGCGUUGGAAGAUUGAGAGGGGUUGCUCCUAGUACGAGAGGACCGGAGUGAACGCACCACUGGUGUUCGGGUUGUCAUGCCAAUGGCACUGCCCGGUAGCUAAGUGCGGAAAAGAUAAGCGCUGAAAGCAUCUAAGCGCGAAACUUGCCUCGAGAUGAGUCUUCCCUGGGCCUUUAAGGCCCCUGAAGGAACGUUUAAGACUAAGACGUUGAUAGGCUGGGUGUGUAAGUGCAGCGAUGCAUUGAGCUAACCAGUACUAAUGAUCCGUGAGGCUUAACCUU
rnacentral:rRNA from 1 species